rnacentral:misc_RNA from 1 species
AAGUCGUAACAAGGUUUCCGUAGGUGAACCUGCGGAAGGAUCAUUAGUGAAAAUACCCUUUGCAUAUGGGUUGCUUCAACCUGUAUCCACCUUUGUGAAUUGUUUUUUUUUUGUUACGUAGCCUUAAAGAGCAAUCCUUAGGGCUAUUAACAAGCUUGAAAUUUUUGUUUGGCUGAAACUUUUGGUUUACAAAACAAAUCAAAUACAACUUUCAACAACGGAUCUCUUGGUUCUG